rnacentral:lncRNA from 10 species
CUCUCCAGUCCUCAGCUCCCCUGAGACAGGUCUCGGAGCCCUGGCCUCUCUUGUGGGGAAGGGGGCAGGUGAGGCUGGCUGACUGUGUGGACACUUGCCUGAUCACUUCAAGUCAAGCCACCUGGGCCAGGCUGAUUCCAACCUGACUAGGGAUAAGGUGAAAAGGGGAACGGCUCUCAAAGUUUAGCGUGCUUACUAUUUUGUCAUUAUUAAGCACUUACCAUGUGCCAGGCACUGUGCUAAAUUCUUUUUUUUUUUUUUUUUGAGACGGAGUCUCACUCUGUCAACCAGGCUGGGGUGCAAUGGUGCAGUCUCGGUUCACUGCAAGCUCCGCCUCCCAGAUUCAAGCGAAUCUCCCGCCUCAGCCUCCCGAGUAGCUGGGACUACAGGCGCCCGCCACCAUGCUUGGCUAAUUUUUGUACUUUUAGUAGAGACCGGGGUUUCACCAUGUUGGCCAGGUUGGUCUUGAACUCCUGACCUCAAGUAAUCUGCCCGCCUCGGCCUCCUAAAGUGCUGGGAUUACAGGUGUGAGCCACCGCACAGGCCGCUAAAUUCUUUUAUCAUGUAUCAUCGCUUUAAAGCUUCACAACAAAUCUACGAAGCAGACAGACGCUGUUUACCUCCUGGAGGCUAUCCAAGACCACACAGCUGGAACCAGGGUUUGCUCUACAGACCAUGGUCUCAGCGACGAUCACUGCUGCCUCCUGGGCAGGGACCACCCGAGGAACUGAGAAUGCUGGAAGCCAAGCUUGCACAUUCUAGGCAGCCAUUUGGAAGAUUCUUCUCUGCGCAUGACCAGCUGAAAAGGAAAAACCCCGAAACAUUGGCACUGUGAUUUCUCCAUGUGAACAGUUUAGUUCGCCGAGGUGGACAUGCCUCAUUCAUGCUUAUGGAGUGACCGACCAGCCUUUAGUGACACCCCCUGAAAUGUGAGUCAUCCAUGGGUCACUAGUCAUUGGAGAAGAGCCCCUUAUACAAAACUUGGAGCUCAGACCACAAACAACAACAACAAUCCAAAAAAUAAAAAAAUGAAAAAUUAGGAGCAGAGACUAAAUGGAAAGAUGGAAAUAUUAAAAUAAAAAUAUUAUUU